UCUGUCAGGGCUGGGGGCGGGGCUCUGUCCCACCACAAACCAAGGCCUGACCCGGGCCUGGCCCCACACGGGCAUUCCGAGCAUCCCAAGGUAUCUUGGGACAUCGAUCUCAUCCAGCCUCUGACAGCAACCAUGGUGACACUCCGGAACCUCAUGGAACCAAGGGGCCAUGUGACACUCUGGUGCCUCAUGGAAUCAAGGAGACCAUUGUGACACUGUGGGGUCCCAGGAAACCAAGAGAACGCAGAACAGGUCUGGCUGGCUGGGCCUCCUGGGGACCACCUGACAGGUCCAGCUGACCUUGGCAUGUCGAGGGCUGCUUCUCAUCUGCCCUUGAAGCACUGGGGCUCCGGGCUUUCCUUCCUACUGGAGAGAACAGUCCUUGUCCUCCAAGGGCCCAUUGCCAAAACUGGGAUUCCUCCUUUGAAUUUCUUUACAUGCAAAGAUUGUUCCCAGAUGAAAUCUGCCAGGACAGACAGAUCUGGCUGCCUUGGCUAACCGGAGGGCACCUUUCAUCUGCCUUUGAAACACUGGCACCAUGUGCUUUUCUUUUUGAUGGGAAAAAACCAUCCAUCUUGACCAGGCACCCAUAGCCAAAAUUGGGCAUCUGCCUCCAGAAUUCCCUAUAUCCAAGUAUAGCUCCUAGACAAAAGCUGCCAGGACUGACAAGUUUGGCUGGCCUUGGCUUCCUGAGGGCUGGCACUCAUCUACCUCUGAAACACUGGGGCUCUGUGCUUUCCUUCCCAAUGAAAAGAAUUCUUCUUCUUGUCCAGGCCUCCACAGCCAAAAUUGAGAUUCCUCCUCCAAAAUGCCCUAUGUCCAAGGAUAGUCCCUAGACAAAAGGUGCCAAAAGAGACAGAUCUGGCUGGUUGGCCUAAGGGUGGCCACCUCUCAUCUUCUUCCAGAACACUUGGAAUUCACACUUUCUUUCCUAUAAGAAAAAAACAUCCAUGUUGACCAGGUGCCCGUGUCCAAAACUGGGAUUCCACCUCCAAAACUGUGUACAUCAGGAACUGCUCCCAAGUGAAAGUUUCCAGGACAGACAGGUCUGGCUGCCCUUGGCCUCUUGGGAGCUCCCUCUCACCUGCUUUCCAAACACUGGGGCUCUGUGCUUUCCUUCCAAUGGAAAAGAACUGUUCUUCUUCUCAAAGUGUCCGUGGUCAAAAUUGAGAUUCCUCCUCCCAAAUUGAAUAUAUCCAAGCAUUCUGCCAUGACAAAAGCUGCAGGACAAACAGGUCUGGAUGUCUUGGCCGCCCAGGAGCCCCCUCUCUCCUCUUCUGCCUUUGAAACACUCAGGCUCGGAGCUUUCCCUUCUAUGAAAAAGAACUGUCCUACUUAUCUACACAGAAGUGGCCGAAAUUGGGAUUCCACCUCCAAAAUUCCCUAUGUCCAAGGGUUGCUUUCAGACAAAAGUUACCAGGACACAGAGAGGUCUGGCUGGUCUAGGCCUCUGAUGACUGCCUUUCAUCUGCCCCUGAAACAACAAUGUUCUAUGAUUUUCUUCCAAUGGUAAAGAACCGUCCUUCUCCUCUGGGCAUCCAUGUCUGAAAUUGAGAUUCCACCUCCAAAAUUCUGUAUAUCCAAGGGUUGCUCCCAGGCAAAAUCUGACAGUACCGCCAAGUCUGGUUGGCCUUGGCCUCUGGUGACUGCCCCUGCAACACUGGGGCUGGGUUCUUUCCUUCCCAUGGAGAUCACUGGGACACUGUGGGCCCUCAUGAAACGCAGGAGAUCAUUGUGGCACCACUGGAGCCCAUGGAACCAAGGGGCCAUGGUGACACAGCGGGGCUUCAUGGAACCCAGAGACCAUUGUGACUCUGUGGGGCCUGAUGGAACCAUGGAGACCAUUAGGACCCUUCAGGGCCUCGUGUCACCAAGGGGGCAUUAUGGCACCUCAGGGCCUCAAGGAAGCAAGGGACCAUUGGGACACUGUGGGGCCCCAUGGAACCGAGGGAACAUGGAACAGUGCUUCCAUCCUCCCUCGAGUGAGAGAAAAGGACAAAGUGCAGGAACAUAGAGGAGCACCAUGAAGACACCGAGGUCAGUGAAGGGGAAGUUGAGUCCCAGAUGGGAGGGAUGAGGAGAUGCCUUGAUCUUUAGGCUGAAAUCCUCUUGAAAAGAUACGGAGAAGGAUGUAAGUGAUACAUCAGACUCUCUUUUUCCCUAUAAUGCAUUGAAAAGUAUGUGGAGAUGUCUUGUUCAGCAAAGGCUUCUGUGGCAGCAACUUUCGGGUCACAGAACGAAACACAAAUUUCCCAGGCAUUGUUUUGGGAAAGCCUAUGAGAAGAUCAGAAAAAAAAAAAAAAAGAGGAACAAUUCAUAUCUUAACUUGCUGCACCUGGUAUUUUGAACUUGUGGAAUGUAUUACAAAGAUUUGUUUACCAAACGGUGGUUUCUUAAUUAGCCAGUGGUGAUGGGUUUUGUAUUGGAGGACCCAUUAGGUCCAGCUGUAGUGAACUAGGUUAAAAUGUAUGGGUUUCUUAAUAAAGAUUAUUGAUCAACCUUCUGUGAAUCAUGCAGUCAAUGUCUAUUAUAAUCCAGCCUGGGGCCCUUGACGUGACAGGCCUCCAUACUAAAGUAAGGGAAUGUCGAAGUAGCUGUGAUCCCAUGAGACAUUUGAAAAGAGAAAGAGAGAAGAGUGAUGAGACCCUGUGCCUCAGGGAGAGAAGAAAAAGACCUCUGUUCCCAGAGAUGAAGAUGAUUUCAGAAACAGAUGAAGAAAACCUUUGCUCUUAAACAGCCCAUAUUUAAACUAAUGCCCCAUAAGUUGACAUGGCCCAUAAACACAACUGUGGGAAAGCUGUGAAAAAACGGGAGGUACUUCAUGAUUGCUGAUUUUCUGGGCAGCUGCUAUUCAUGGGAAUUGAGAUCCAUGAGAGAACUGUUUUCGUACAGAGAAGUCUCCAUUGCAUGAAAGAGAGACUCCUCUCCCUAAGGGAACUGAAGCAAGAUUAUUCUAGUGGUGGUAAACUGACUCAAAAUUUAGGUUUUGUCUCUUUACAAUGUCAGUAAGAAAGCAAAGGUUGCAGUGAGAGGAGAAGUAUUCUGAAAGUUUUGUUCUGAUUCUAAAUACUCUUUCUUUUAGUUGCUGUUAAUAAACUUUUCUUUAUAUGCUUUUAAA